rnacentral:rRNA from 1 species
UACGUAGGGAGCAAGCGUUGUCCGGAUUUACUGGGUGUAAAGGGUGCGUAGGCGGCCCUGCAAGUCAGAAGUGAAAUCCAUGGGCUUAACCCAUGAACUGCUUUUGAAACUGUAGGGCUUGAGUGAAGUAGAGGUAGGCGGAAUUCCCGGUGUAGCGGUGAAAUGCGUAGAGAUCGGGAGGAACACCAGUGGCGAAGGCGGCCUACUGGGCUUUAACUGACGCUGAAGCACGAAAGCGUGGGUAGCAAACAGG